UACGGGGGGGGGCAAGCGUUGUUCGGAAUUACUGGGCGUAAAGGGCUCGUAGGCGGCCAACUAAGUCAGACGUGAAAUCCCCAGGCUCAACCUGGGAACUGCGUCUGAUACUGGAUGGCUUGAAUCCGGGAGAGGGAUGCAGAAUUCCAGGUGUAGCGGUGAAAUGCGUAGAUAUCAGGAGGAACACCGGUGGCGAAGGCGGUUCUCUGGGCAUUACCUGACGCUGAGGAGCGAAAGUGUGGGGAGCGAACAGG
rnacentral:rRNA from 1 species